rnacentral:rRNA from 1 species
GUAGGUGGCAAGCGUUGUCCGGAAUUAUUGGGCGUAAAGCGCGCGCAGGCGGUUCUUUAAGUCUGAUGUGAAAGCCCACGGCUCAACCGUGGAGGGUCAUUGGAAACUGGAGAACUUGAGUACAGAAGAGGAAAGCGGAAUCCCACGUGUAGCGGUGAAAUGCGUAGAGAUGUGGAGGAACACCAGUGGCGAAGGCGGCUUUCUGGUCUGUAACUGACGCUGAGGCGCGAAAGCGUGGGGAGCAAACAGGGAUUAGAUACCCUGGUAGUCCACACCGUAAACGAUGAGUGCUAAGUGUUAGGGGGUUUCCGCCCCCUUAGUGCUGCAGCUAACGCAUUAAGCACUCCGCCUGGGGAUACGGCCGCAAGGCUG